rnacentral:rRNA from 1 species
CAGUAGCCGCGGUAAUACAGAGGGUGCGAGCGUUAAUCGGAUUUACUGGGCGUAAAGCGUGCGUAGGCGGCUUCUUAAGUCGGAUGUGAAAUCCCUGAGCUUAACUUAGGAAUUGCAUUCGAUACUGGGAAGCUAGAGUAUGGGAGAGGAUGGUAGAAUUCCAGGUGUAGCGGUGAAAUGCGUAGAGAUCUGGAGGAAUACCGAUGGCGAAGGCAGCCAUCUGGCCUAAUACUGACGCUGAUGUACGAAAGCAUGGGGAGCAAACAGGAUUAGAUACCCGCGUAGUCCCUGUCUCUUAUAC